rnacentral:rRNA from 1 species
UAGGGAAUCUUCCACAAUGGGCGCAAGCCUGAUGGAGCAACACCGCGUGAGUGAAGAAGGGUUUCGGCUUGUGAAGCUCUGUUGUUAAAGAAGAACACGUAUGAGAGUAACUGUUCAUACGUUGACGGUAUUUAACCAGAAAGUCACGGCUAACUACGUGCCAG